rnacentral:rRNA from 1 species
UACGUAGGCAGCGAGCGUUGUUCGGAGUUACUGGGCGUAAAGGGUGUGUAGGCGGUUGUUUAAGUUUGGUGUGAAAUCUCCCGGCUUAACCGGGAGGGUGCGCCGAAUACUGAAUGACUAGAGUGCGGGAGAGGUGAGUGGAAUUCCUGGUGUAGCGGUGAAAUGCGUAGAUAUCAGGAGGAACACCGGUGGUGUAGACGGCUCACUGGACCGUAACUGACGCUGAGACACGAAAGCGUGGGUAGCAAACAGG